UACGUAGGGUGCGAGCGUUGUCCGGAAUUACUGGGCGUAAAGAGCUCGUAGGUGGUUUGUCGCGUUGUCCGUGAAAACUCACAACUCAAUUGUGGGCGUGCGGGCGAUACGGGCAGACUGGAGUACUGCAGGGGAGACUGGAAUUCCUGGUGUAGCGGUGGAAUGCGCAGAUAUCAGGAAGAACACCCGUGGCUAAGGCGGCUCUCUAGUACGGUACUGACGCUGAGACGCGAAAGCGUGGGGAGCGAACAGGAUAGAAACCUUGUAGUCAGACAAGUCCUCUAGUCU
rnacentral:rRNA from 1 species